GCGAUUUCAUUUUUUCUCCCCUCUCUUCUCUCUUUUCUCUCCCCAAGAUCCAGCGCCCGUGCUAUCGGUAGCGGUCCGCCCGGCGGCCGCGCCCUAGGGUCCCGGCGGCGCCCCGCCCCGAGGCCGCGCCCAGGGGGCCGGCGGCGAACCGCCCCGAGGCCGCGCCCCAAGGGCCCGACGGCUACCCGCCAGGUGGACGCGCCCAGGGGCCCGCGGAGCUCGAUUUGGAGGUGGCGGAGGUCGAUCGGGCAGCGGCGGAGCUCGAUUUGGAGGCGGGUGAGGUCGAUUCGGCAGCGGCGGAGGUCGAUUCGGCAGCGGUGGAGCUCGAUUUGGAGGCGGCGGAGCUCAAUUUGCAGCCGGCCGAGGCAAGGCCCUUCACGGCGCGCCCGCGGCGGAGGUCGAUUGGCCCGCAGCGGCGGCCGAGCUGCGGCACGCCCGCGGAGGCUGUCGAGCUUCGGCCCGCGCGGUGCCCGCGGAGGCGGCCGAGCUCCGGCACACCCACGGUGGCCCAGCUCCGGCGCGCUCGCUGCGGCGGCGGCCGAGCUCAGGCGCGCCCGCGGCGGCAGCGGCCGAUCUCCGCCCCGUCCUGACUCCUGAGGGAGCCGGCGUGGGGUAUGUGGCGACGCCGCCGGGCGAACAUGGCGCGGGCGUGGGCAGCAUGAGGACCGCACCAAGGUCGGGUAGCACGCGAUGCCGGCGGCCACGGGGACGCCUGCAGCGGCGGCCGAGCUCAGCCCGCGCGGCACAGGAGCUCCUGCUGACAGCGAGGAGAGAGGAGAAGACAAGCAGAGGAGACCCUCUACCAGUCAACUGUUGAUGGCAAGAAGAUUGUAGACAUUCUUGUUGAGCCCGGUAUCAAGGUCGACAAGGGUCUUGUGCCACUUGCUGGCUCCAACGACGAGUCAUGUUGACUUCCAGUGACUGAAGAAUCUGAACACAAAUGAUUGCUGCUGAAAGGCAACGCUCGUGGUAUCCUUAUGAAGAUUCUUGCCUCAAAUAUCAGCUUCUGUGUAUGCGAUGAAGACUCUGGGGCUGCGGGGUAAAACCAUCCUUCUAGAGAUCAGAGAACUCUGGACAGAAUGAUGUAUUUUUGUGAUGAUGGGCAAAUGUCUACUGUGCUUAUUUGGGUUAUCUUAAAGUUAUCUAGAGUCCUAUUCAUGAAAAUUUCCCUUUACUGAAAUUUCUGGGACUUGCUGAGUGGUAGAAGAAGGCGCCACCAAACCUCUUUUCAAGUACACAUCAACACCUACCACAAUGCUAAAAUAAAAUGUAUAUAUCAAUUCUUCUCAACAGGUUGCUAUGAGAUUUCUGCCGAACUCGAGUCUUCCAGCACUUUGAUGUUUUUAGUCCACUGCUUGAAUGGAUCAGCAUGUUGCAUUUUGGCAGGAAAUUGGACAUUUUCGGAGAUGUUUUGACGCAGGGUCACAACUGGGCUAAGAUGAAGAAUAAGGAGAAGAGCCCGCACGCGAAAGAUGGAGCCGAAAGGGGCCAGAAGGAGCCCAGGCCGGCCGGCCUGGAGCCUUUAAGCCGGUCGGCCUAGCCCAUUCCAGGGCCCAAUCGGCCUCAACUUUCUUCAGCGCGAAGUACUCGUCAACCCUAGCCGGUGUUUUACCAAAACCAUCGACCAGAGCCGUCUACAUAUGCCCCGAAGCCGCCGUCAAGAAAGAGAGAGCAUCCAGAGACCCAUUCGAGUUAGACACAAGAGAAAGGCGACACCAAAGGCCUCAUCGUCCCUCGGCGCCGCUGCAAGUUGGAGGACAGCAAGGGAUCCAUCCCUUGUCGGAGAUUUCGUCACCAUGAUCGACUACGCUUCGCCUAGCUUCAUGGGGUGUUUUGAGUUGUAGGUCCUGUGUUGAUAUGGGUAUGAGCCACAAAUCCGGUAAGCUGAUUUUGCCAUCAGAUUUCAAGAGGCUGUUUGAGACAUUUGGAAGUUAGGCCCUGUUUAGUUCUCAAAAAAAUUUACACAGUAUCUGUCACAUCGAAUCUUAGGACACAUGUAUGGAGCAUUAAAUGCAGUUGAAAAAAUAACUAAUUACACGGUCUAACUGAUUAGCAUGAGCUGUAUCUUUUAAACCUAAUUAGUUCAUAAUUGGAUAUUAUUUGUCAAGUAACAACGGAAUGUGCUACAUUAACAAAACUCUAACUUUUUCACCAACUAAACACACCCUUAUCCAAAAGAAAUGAGAGUCCUGAAGUUCGUGGUGCAGCUGGAGAGGCAUGGAGCAACGUGACUAUGCAGUAUGGUUUCAGUUUUCAGUUACAUGUCUGUCAGAACAACGUGACUAUGCAGUAUGGUUUCAGUUUUCAGUUACUCAAAUGAGAUGGUUUAUGCUUUUUGUCUAGCAUUUCUUAAAAUGAAAUAUAUAUUUAUUAGUUUGGACUAUGGACCAUAUGUUAUUUGGUGUACGUCUGAAAUUUACCUGUGGCGUUAGCACGGGCACCUUACUAGUAAUAUAUACAAUAGAUAAAUUGGGUACUCUCGGUAUGGAAUAAGGUGUUCCAUACCCGAGCCCAUCCAUCCGGCGUCCGACCGCAGACCGCUCCAUGCACCCGGUUUUUCCUGUCCGGUCUCGCGGUCUCGCCCCGGUUUGCAUUGCGCGCCGCCCACCCCACCACAUCCCCCACGAUGGGAUUUUACCCAGCCCGUUCCCGGCGCUGCCGCAUCAAUUAAAAAAACCGCCCAGCUCCAAUCCGAUCCCGGCGGCGCCGCACCACCGUACCGUCGUCGCGUGACGCGGCACCCCCUCCUCGUGACGGCACGCUCAUCCUACCGGCGCGCCCGGCGCCACACUCAUCCUCCCGGCACGCCCGGCGCCUCAUCCUCCUCCCGACUCCGCACUCUCCUCGCUCGGGGCUCCCUCCUACCGGCGCCCCUCCCUCCUCCCGACGGGACAUCGUCCUCCCGCGUAGCUCGACACCGCACCAUCCUCGCCAUACCGCUCUUCUUCCGGCACGCUUGGCUGUCGCCGCCUACCCCACCCUCGCGCCGUCCAGGGUAGGCCUUGCACCGCCGGAUCCCGUGGGAAGCCCCUGCGCCGCCGGCUCCCAUACCACCCCGACGAGGACAUCCGCCCCCACGAGCUGCGGCGCGGCAGCUCGGAGCUACCCCACUCCCGAUCUUCCCCAUCGGGUCCACCCUGUUGGCCUGGUCCGCGUCAGUUCCCGAUCGGAUUUCGGUUCAGCGCCAAACCACCCUACAGUCGUUGCUCCCUCCCCCAGACACGGCCCCCAGCCCCGCGCCGCACCACCCUGUCGUCACCGCUCCCUCCCCCAGAUGCCCCCCGAUCCUGGUGCCGCACCACCCUCCCGACGUCCGCCCCCACGAGCUGCUGCGCGGCGGUGUGCGAACGCUGCUCUGCUCAUGCGUGCAGACACAGAUGCAUAGUUUUGCUAUCAGAUGAAUGAAUGCUAAAGGAUUGUGGAAGUCAUGCAGGUGACAGGCUGCUCGGCAUCCAUGGGGCUUGCUACCAAUCCACAUGCAUCAGGAAAGCCAUUUGCUGCAUUAGAACAUGUUGUUAACAUUUCAGGGUGUUGGGAUUGAUUCUGCUGUGGAUGCCCAUGUUUUACCAACAAGCUGGUAGCGAUGAGCUGAUGCAUGACAAUGUGCAGCGAUGCAGGAUCAAGCUCCCAGCGGAGAGGGCAAAGUGUGGCAGCCCCUCCUUUUCAGAUGUGUUACCACCCCCAUUGAAUUUUUGCCUACAAAGUAUGCUUUGAUCUCAACUGUAGUCAUCUGCCUGCACCUCCAAAUCGCACCACUGCAAACAGGCAGCAGUGACUAGGAUGAGAUCACAAGGAAACUGCAAGAGUGAAUACACGAGUACAGAUUGCAAUGAGCUCAGCAUGAUAUGUCCCUGACCACGAGGUGUACACAUUCAGCAUUUUGUUUUCCUAAAAAGACUUCAGUCUACAAACGGCAAUGUGUAUGAGGUCAGAAGCUAGCUGAAAGAACCGCUACAAGGGACAAGAUGAGAUUUCAGACAGAUAGAGAAUAAAUUAGAUUUAUUGUUCAUGAAUCUAUAUUCCUUGACUCACUUGGUUGCCCAAUCGAUAACAAAUCUAUUUGCCAAAUACGUAUGACAGUCAUUGGAAAUAUUGUAGCGGCACUGCUCUAUGGAUUGGGAAUAAGAAACUUAAUUUGUUGAGUAAA